AUCACUUCUCGGCCUUUUGGCUAAGAUCAAGUGUAGGAUGUAUUUUGUAGUGUUCAUCUAGGGUUACAUGUUUAUAUACAUAUAAAUUUUCUUGGGGGUGCCUGGGUGGCUCAGUUGGUUAAGUGUCCGACUUCAGCUCAGGUCAUGAUCUCGUGGUUCAUGAGUUCAA
rnacentral:snRNA from 1 species